GUGAAGGCCUCCUGGUCCUGUGGUCUGUCCUAACUAACCAGGUGUAGCUGGCACUCAUUUUGAAUGGCAGACAUGAUGACAGCAAAACUGUACCACAGAGCCCCAUUGAUGAUGCCCCUGGUUCGGUAAAAGGAGGCUCCACACCGCUCUGUGUCAUUGUUUGACAUGGUAGCGUGAGCGUCUGCAUAGCAACCUGUAUGUCCACCUCUGUCCUCCAUCCUUACUUGUUCAUCUGGAGUGGGUGAGAACAUCCUCUCCUCGUGCGGGUGUCUAGAAAAGUC